UCCCAACAGCCUCUCCAGCUGCAGGAGUCCUGCAUUUGGUCCUCACAACUGUUCUUGCUAAAUCCCAACAGGAGAAAAUGAGGCCAGCAGCUGUAGGAGUCAGAGGGCAGAGGAAAGCUGGCAAAGGCAGAGUGCAGCCACGCUGUGUCCUGGCAGUGAAAGCUGACUGCACAUCACGCAGGAUGUGAGAUUCAUUUGGCAAAGUGGGGCUCUCCUUGAGAUUCUGGGAGCCUCCCCACUCAGGCAGUGAGGGACACUGCCGCAGUGCCCGCCCUGAAGCUCCCUGGCUUCGCCUGCCCGGCCGAGGCACGGUCAGCAGCGGGGGACACUCCCGUGUCUCGAGGAGAGUCGGGGAGCGGCUAAGACAGAGCGCUUCGCUGUCUGCCGUGUACGGAGGAGAGGCGGCGUCCGAGGAGGAAGCACCCUGUGAGCAGAGGCUUUCUUCCAGCUGUUUCUCAGCAGGCUCAGCACCCCACCCCACCAGGCCCACAGUGGCAGUGUGUGCCAUGAAGCCUCUGGUGGGGACUGGAGGUGGGAGUGGGCAGGUGGCAAGGAUCCAAACUGGUCUGCACUGGACACUGUGCCUGCAAAGGUGAGGAAAGCUCAUAUCCUGCUGUGGGACCCCAAUUCCUCCUCUGCACCAACCUGGAGACCCAUCCCUGCCUGUGCCUCCCCCACCUCACCCCAGCCAUGCACUCUGCCCAGCCUGGCCCCUGUGUCCCUCUGUCCUGCCCAGCAGUACCAUAAUGGGACAGAUUCCAGCAAUUUUCCCUGCCAUGUCAUCACAACCUCUAUUUCUACCCAGUUUUUCUGUGGGAAGACAAAUCUGUUUGCAUGGAUUUUUUUACCCCUACAAUGUCCCCACUCCCCUGUGCUCUGCAUCUCUCAUUCCACCUCCAUCCUGCUCUGAGGCUGACACUGUCCCAAAUGCCAAAUCCACCUUGUCCGUGGUUGCAUCCCAGACUGAGCAAUGCCACUCAAACCAGCCUGGGGAGGAGAGGAGACCACAGCCCCCGUGUCUGACCAGAUGGGACCAUGUGUGACAGGUGUGAUCAGGUGUGACAGGUGUGACCAGGUGUGAUAGGUGUGACCAGGUGUGACCUCUGUGACCAGGUGGGACCAGGUGUGACCUGUGUGACCUGUGUGACCAGGUGUGGUCAGGUGUGACAGGUGUGACCAGGUGUGAUAGGUGUGACCAGGUGUGACCUGUGUGACCAGGUGGGACCAGGUGUGACAGGUGUGACAGGUAUGACCAUGUGUGACCAGGUGUGACCGGUGUGAGCAGGUGUGAUCUCUGUGACCAGGUGUGACCAGGUGUGACCAGGUGUGACCUGUGUGACCUGUGUGACCAGGUGUGGUCAGGUGUGACAGGUGAGACCAGGUUUGACCUGUGUGACCAGGAGUAACCAGGUAUGACCAGGUGUGACCAGAUGUGACCAUGUGUGACCAGGUGUGACAGGUGUGACCAGGUGUGACCUGUGUGAUCAGAUGGGACCAGGUGGGACCAGGUGGGACCAGGUGUGACCUGUGUGAUCAGAUGGGACCAGGUGUGACAGGUGUGACCUGUGUGACCUGGCACGUGGCACUGCUCACACCUCCUCACCUCCCAGCUGUGCCUGGCCUGGGGCAGCAGCUGAACUGCCACUGAGGUGCUCCCUGCACAUCCCCCCUGCCCUCCCACACCUGUGGCAUGUGCUCCCCCCGCCCGUGGCUGCAGGUGGCUGGCACGGAGAUUAAAUAUAGGCAGGCAGGAUGAAGGAACUGAGCCCAGAUUAACCGGGCAGGCCGUGGUCAGUUUACCUGCCCCCGCUCUGCAAGGCUCUGCUCAGGGGAGGAUAAUGCCCCAGUCCUUGUUAAAGCCAGGACUUGGAGAUGCCUCAGCCACUCAGGAUGUCCCCAGGGUGGGUCUGGGUUCUCCUUUUGUCUUCAGGUGCCACCUGGUCCCUGUGAGCAGCCAGUGCUGUGUGAGCCUUGAGGACAAAGUGCUUGUGGGGCUCUGGCUGAGCAUCCCUGCUCCUGUCUGGAGAGACUGGCCAAAGGAAGGGUGUCAAGCAGCCAGAGAAGACUCAGGGGAAGGCAGCAGUCAGCCUGCACCUCUGCCCUGAGCUUGUGCCUGCUGGUGAGAACAGGAGCUUUGCUGACAACAUAUCUUAGGGUCUGGGAAAGUCAAAAGGGCAGGAGAGACACAGGCUGGGGAGGUGCUUUCCUCUCCCAUAACAUCUGGGAUCAGACUCGAGUUGUGAUCACACCUACAUCUAGGGGUCAGGGUGAAUGUCUCCCAUCAGCCAGGAGGUUCUGGGAGAGCCAGGAGCCAGGAGGUUCUCCCGUCAGCCAGGAGGUUCUGAUUAAUUCAGAGCCAGCAGAGAUAUAAGAGAAGGUCAGUUCACCCUGAAGUUGGCAUCUCCAGCUUCCCCUAAACUCCCUUGACUGAUGGAGGCACAUCAGUGUCUAAAUAUCAGAUUUAACCCUGUUCUUAACAGGCUCCAAGGGGUGAGUUGACUCCACCACGGUUUGCAACAGGACCCUCGGGUGGUGUGGUUCUCCCUCAGGGGGAUGAAUCUCAAACCAGUGCUCUCAGGGGAUGUCUGGAUCCAAUCAGAUGCUGAAUCAGUUUAAUCCUUCGUGCAGCAGAGCUGGCAGUCAGGUGUGGUGUAACUAGCACAACAUGCCCUUUUUCUUCCUCACAGCAUCUUCCCUAAUAUUUUGACAGGGCCUUUAGCAGGCCUGUCUGGAGGAUUAAUAAACCUUUCUCUGUAAUCAGCA